rnacentral:rRNA from 1 species
CCUACGGGGGGCUGCAGUGGGGAAUAUUGCACAAUGGGGGAAACCCUGAUGCAUCAACGCCGCGUGAGCGAUGAAGGCCUUCGGGUCGUAAAGCUCUGUCCUAAGGGAAGAAUACUGACGGUACCUUAGGAGGAAGCCCCGGCUAACUACGUGCCAGCAGCCGCGGUAAAACGUAGGGGGCUAGCGUUAUCCGGAAUUACUGGGCGUAAAGGGUGCGUAGGAGGACCUUCAAGUCAGAGGUGAAAGGCUACGGCUCAAACGUAGUAAGCAUUUGAAACUGUAGGGCUAGAGUUCAGGAUAGGAGAGUGGGAUUCCCAGGGUAGCGGUGAAAUGCGUAGAUGUUGUGAGGAACGCCAGUUGCGAAGGCGGCUCUCUGGACUGUAACUGACGCUGAGGCACGAAAGCGUGGGGAGCGAACAGGAUUAGAUACCCUUUUAGUC